rnacentral:rRNA from 1 species
UGGGGAAUAUUGGACAAUGGGCGCAAGCCUGAUCCAGCCAUGCCGCGUGAGUGAUGAAGGCCCUAGGGUUGUAAAGCUCUUUCCCCGGUGAAGAUAAUGACGGUAACCGGAGAAGAAGCCCCGGCUAACUUCGUGCCAGCAGCCGCGGUAAUACGAAGGGGGCUAGCGUUGUUCGGAAUUACUGGGCGUAAAGCGCACGUAGGCGGAUCGAUCAGUUAGGGGUGAAAUCCCGGGGCUCAACCCCGGAACUGCCUCUAAUACUGUCGAUCUGGAGUUCGAGAGAGGUGAGUGGAAUUCCGAGUGUAGAGGUGAAAUUCGUAGAUAUUCGGAGGAACACCAGUGGCGAAGGCGGCUCACUGGCUCGAUACUGACGCUGAGGUGCGAAAGCGUGGGGAGCAAACA